rnacentral:rRNA from 1 species
UACAGGGGGGGCAAGCGUUGUUCGGAAUUACUGGGCGUAAAGGGCCAGUAGGCGGCCAACUAAGUCCGACGUGAAAUCCCCAGGCUUAACCUGGGAACUGCGUCGGAUACUGGAUGGCUUGAAUUCGGGAGAGGGAUGCAGAAUUCCAGGUGUAGCGGUGAAAUGCGUAGAUAUCGUAAGGAAGACCAGUGGCGAAGGCGGGUCUCUGGACAGUUCCUGACGCUGAGGCACGAAGGUCAGGGGAGCAAACGGG